AGUAACGGCGAGUGAAGCGGCAACAGCUCAAAUUUGAAAUCUGGCCCUCUCAGGGUCCGAGUUGUAAUUUGGAGAGGAUGCUUCGGGUGUGGCCCCGGUCUAAGUUCCUUGGAACAAGACGUCACAGAGGGUGAGAAUCCCGUACGUGCCCGGUGGCCGCCCCCGUGUGAAGCUCCUUCGACGAGUCGAGUUGUUUGGGA
rnacentral:rRNA from 1 species